rnacentral:rRNA from 1 species
CGGACGGGUGAGUAAUGUCUGGGAAACUGUCUGAUGGAGGGGGGUAACUACUGGAAACGGUAGCUAAUACCGCAUAACGUCGCAAGACCAAAGAGGGGGACCUUCGGGCCUCUUGCCAUCGGAUGCGCCCAGAUGGGAUUAGCUAGUAGGUGGGGUAAAGGCUCACCUAGGCGACGAUCCCUAGCUGGUCUGAGAGGAUGACCAGCCACACUGGAACUGAGACACGGUCCAG